AUGAAGAAAGGCAGGGAGAGAGGGUUGUGGGGAUCAGCUCGCUCGGACAGAGCCCGGGCUCCCCACCGAGAGCCGGGAGGUGGCAGCAGCGGCCGAGCGCGGGGCCGGAGCGGGGGCGGUGCCGGCGGGGUGUCCCCGAGGGACGGGGGGGCCGCGGGCUCCGCGGGCAUCCCCGCUGCUCUGCUCUGCUCUGCUCCGCUCUCAUCCCCUCCUGCGCUGCGGGGCCGUGCUCCAGGCCUCCGGCGGAGGGCGGAGGAGCUGCCUCUCGUUCAGCCUUCCCGGGGGCAGGCACAUGGCUGGAGCCCCGACACGGACACGGGUGGGUCCGGCUGUGCUGGGCCGACACGGGCACGGGUGGGUCCGGCUGUGCUGGGCGCUCGGGCGCCUGCAGUGCUCCACGGCUGGGAAUUCCCGGCUGCGCUGGCGCCGAGCCCUUCCCGGAAUGCUUGUCCGAGCCGGGGCUGUAAACAGUAUUUUUCUCUCCUUGCAGUCACUGCCGAGUCCUGUGAGUCCCCUGCCCUCUCUGUUGCUUCUUUCAGGUGUUCCUGGAUUGUUCGCUUCCCGACCCCUCUGCUGCACCCUGACGGAGCCGGGGAGACACAGGGAGCCAGGGACAGCAGCUGCCUGGGGCACUCCUCAUCCCGGUGCGGGUGGGCACAGGUUUGCCCAUGUGUGGCGUCCACCCGUCCCUCACCAGGGCUCCGGUGCCACCGCGUUACUAGCGGGGAGCAGGGAGUCACCGCCCUGCAGGACGUGAGCACCGCCCACGGUGAGCACGCCCGGCCUGCGCUCGCUCGGGGAGCUGACAGCUGUAUUUAUGGAUUGGGUGGAAAACCAGAGCGUUUGGUCAAACGUCCCACAGGCCCCGGGCCUGCCCCUGCCCGCGGCGCGGACACGUCACGGACACGCCCGUGGGCCUGCGAAUGGUCAGCCAUGGGGACAGCCUGGGUGGGACACGGCUCGGGGGGGUGGGCUGCCUUGGUGAAGACGACAGCCAUGGCCCCACUCAGCCACCACUCGCCAUACAAGCCCCUCCCAGCCACAAGCCUCUCUGGCCAUGAUUCCCCUGUCAAUGAACGCCCCUGGCGAUGA
rnacentral:lncRNA from 1 species